AAGCCCAGCGCUGAAUCUCCCAGUCUUUGAUUGGCGAGAAAUGUGGCGUAUAGGUGUGACUGUCCGUCCCUUCCGCUCACCCAAAGUCCCCUUGAGUGGGGCUGCUCUCCAGAGAGGGUUCAAGGCCUGUACGGGUGGCAGUUGAGGCGGUCGGUUGCUCCUUGGAGUCGGGUUGCCUGAGAUCGCAGCCCAAAGAGGGUGGUAAACCUCAUCUAAGGCUAAAUACGACCACGAGACCGAUAGCGAACAAGUACCGUGAGGGAAAGUUGCAAAGAACUUUGAAGAGAGGGUUAAAGAGGACGUGAAACCGCUAAGAAGGAAACGGAUAGAGUUGACGUAACGCGGCAGCAUUCAGGCGGUUGGGCCAGCGGACCUGUGGCUGUCGUCCUCGAUGAGGCUACGGUAAUGGGUUCCUGCAGGUUCGACCACUGCAUUUGCUGCCGGUAUGCGCCGAGAGUCGCGCUGGCGCCGGAACAACCGUGUGCAGAGGGCCACCCCGGUGGAAACCUGUGCGCGGGAAGGCCGGUCGCUGGUGCGGUUCGCAAGGCUUACUAUCUCCGCUUUUGUGCGCUGUUUGUGGCCCGGUUGGCUGCUUCGUGAGCGGUCGCGUGCGACCUGUUCGCGGAGCGUGCUUGUCGUGUUGCUGCAGUGCGCUGGGAUGGUGUCUCGGUGUGAAAGUCGACCACCUAUCCGACCCGUCUU
rnacentral:rRNA from 1 species